rnacentral:tRNA from 1 species
GCGGAAGUGCUGGAACUGGCAGACAGGCAUGACUAAGGAUCAUGUGCUCGACGAGCGUGAGGGUUCAAGUCCCUUCUUCCGCA